rnacentral:rRNA from 1 species
CCGGCGCACGGGUGAGUAACGCGUGUGCAACCUGCCCGGCACAGUGGGAUAAUCCGGAGAAAUCCGGUCUAAUACCGCAUGACGCGGGAAGGGCGCAUGCCUUUUCCGCCAAAGGAGGCGACUCCGGUGCCGGCUGGCACGCGUGACAUUAGCUAGUUGGCGGGGCGACGGCCCACCAAGGCGACGAUGUCUAGGGGUUCUGAGAGGAAGGUCCCCCACACUGGUACUGAGACACGGACCAGACUCCUACGGGAGGCAGCAG